CCCCUUUCUCCUCUGUUUUUGACUUUCUAUUGCCACUUUCUUUUCGAUAUUGUAGUUCUCACCCUUUAUGGCUCUGGCAGUUAUUAGUCAGCCCGUUCCGACUCUUAAAUCUUAAUAGGGUGUCAUAUGUCCAUCCUCUUUCCCGCCAAUCCACAGACAGAUUUUUGUCUCUGCAAGUACCUCUCUCCUCUGUUGAAGACUCCUGAUUGCCACUUCCUUUAGGGCUCUAGCAAGUUCCUUUAGUCAAUGCCCAGAAUAAAGGCGGCCAUCUUUCGAGCAUCUACUUUCGUGCCAAUCCAGUGACAAAUUUUUGUUUUUGCAAGUGUAAUAUAUAUCUGUAUUUCUAGCUUAUUCACUGUUACUCUGGUGAAACUUUUCCGUAAUGCUAUUGCUUCUUCCUCUGUGUAUCAAAAUUCUUCCCCCAGCUCUAUUUAGAAAAAGUCUGAAUUCACCAUACUGAGCUUCUUAAUAUUUGACUGCCAAGUCCUGAACACUCUCUUUUCGUCAAACUCAAAGGCCUCAAGAUCACUAGCCUGUGGAUUAUUUUCACUUCCAGCUUAUCGUACUUAUCAAACUUGCAGAAAGCCUCCCGAGUUCCUCAUGCAAUCACUCCACUGCAAUUGAAUUGUCCGACUUUCUCAAGGACUCCUCUGUCAGGAUGGCCAUCUUUUCCUGCUUGAUUAGGAACAUAUUAUCCACUCCAGGUAGUGGCAGCGUGGGCCAUGGCAAGGGAGUCAGCUUUAACAGCAGAGUCGGUGUGGUGUACAGGUAGUCUCGUCAAUCCUUAUCCACUCUGAUAUCUAAGUAGAAUUUACUCUAUUAUUUCGUACUGUGCCAGGUCUUUUCUCGAGUCUCGUGUGUGUCGGCACAGGAGUUUGUACUCUUUUACUUAUGUUGUGACCGUUGUGUUAGCGGAGUACCCGUAGUGCAUGCAUGUGUUUUUCUUCGCUUCCGUUGCUCUCAUCUUUGAGUAUGCAUGCCGGGGUGGUUUUUGUCUCGUGUUUCAUUAUUUUUCUCCUCCCGUAGGCGCUCUCGUUCGAGUAGUCCGGGUGGUUGGGGAUAUCCGGGCGGGGGUGCUUACAAUGCUAGAAUGUCCGUAUCCAAGCAUACUCAAUAAAUGAAUAUCCCAACAUGCAACCCGUAUCCAUGUGCAUAUCAAAUCAUGAACAGUAAUAUAAUGAAUUUAAUCGUGCAGUAAAUCACAUACUGGAAGAGCUAAUUAGCAGUGCCCGACAUCGGUCAAUGGCCAGUGACUAGGAGUAUCUACCUGAUGGUUUACUCAAGGACUGUACAGUAAUCUACUCCACGUCACCAAACAGCCGACCCCUACCAUACUACUCGAUAGCUCUAUCCGAAUCAUAAAUAAAUUCGAGAAAUCCGAAAAUAAAUCCCCACAACUAUGAACCUAGUCCCCAAGUUGGGUUCAGUAUCAUUCCGAAAGGAAUGUGGGCGAUACAAUCCCUCGUAGGCACUCAACAAGUAAAACUCUAGAAGUUUUGGAUUUAAUUUAAAUUAAAACAAAUGAACAAUAAUUCAACAAAUAAGGCUAGGCGCCGAAUUAGUGUAAGGGGGAGGAUAAAGUAUAGAAAAUCACGGGGUCUUUCACGGGAAUUAAGGAACAAGAGGAGAGGGUUGGGAGCUUGUCUGAAAUUAGCUGCUUUCAGCCUCUCUUGUACUCCCGAUGCGAAUUAAAUCAUUUCCUAGCAAAUAACACAACCGGAACUUAAAUUAAUUAAUUUUAAUCGCGUAAAUUUUAUAAUUUAAACAUAUCACGCUUCUACUAAUUUUUACCCACGUACCUGAUCACUUUCUAUGCCAAAAAAUUCUAAAAUUCUAUUAUU